GUGGCGUGCCUUUUGAAGAAUGAGCCUGCGAGUUAGUGAUACGUGGCGAGGUUAACCCGUGUGGGGAAGCCGUAGCGAAAGCGAGUCUGAAUAGGGCGAUUGAGUCGCGUGUCCUAGACCCGAAGCGGAGUGAUCUACCCAUGGCCAGGUUGAAGCGACGGUAAGACGUCGUGGAGGACCGAACCCACCUAGGUUGAAAACUGGGGGGAUGAGCUGUGGAUAGGGGUGAAAGGCCAAUCAAACACCGUGAUAGCUGGUUCUCCCCGAAAUGCAUUUAGGUGCAGCGUUGUGUGGUUCGUGUCGGAGGUAGAGCACUGGAUGGUCUAGGGGGCCUAUCAGCUUACCGAAACCAGCCAAACUCCGAAUGCCGGCACGUGGAGCGCAGCAGUGAGACGGCGGGGGAUAAGCUUCGUCGUCGAGAGGGAAACAGCCCAGAUCAUCAGCUAAGGCCCCUAAGUGAUAGCUAAGUGGAAAAGGAUGUGGAGUUGCGUAGACAACCAGGAGGUUGGCUUGGAAGCAGCCAUCCUUGAAAGAGUGCGUAAUAGCUCACUGGUCAAGUGAUUCCGCGCCGAUAAUGUAGCGGG
rnacentral:rRNA from 1 species